ensembl:lncRNA
CUUUAAAACAAUUUUUUUUUCCAGUGCUUCUCAAGUUUUCUACAAAUCAGUGUCUGUUAUUUUUAGAAUGUAGUAAAGUUUUUUUUUCUCUUUUUUAAAGGGAACUGACAAAGGAAAGAUAAAGCAUGACUUUUAGAGACCUGUGGGUCUGGGACCAUAGUUCAGCCUGGGACAUCGGCCAAAUUACUUCUUCUGGCAGAAUAAGCACAAAGCUGGCAUCAAGUGAACAUCAGUGCCGGGGUGCUUACAGAUGCUCUCAGGGAUUCCGAUAGGUUCUGUGAUUUCCACACGGGUACAUUCAGUGUUCUCUACGCAGCGGGCAUCAGCUCAGGAGACCCCAGGAUUUCAGUGUCAGGUCUGGAGGGCAGUCUGCCGGGGCGUUUGGCAGGCGGGGUCGGGCUGGUCCAGGGAAGCUGUCCGGUGUCCUAUGGGACCACUGAGGUCCUUGGGGGGAAGGGUGUGGGCUUGGGGUGGGCUUAGGGUCAAGCAGAGACCUUUGCAGCCCUUGGGGCCCUCAUCCCUGCUUCACGGGCAAGGACCCUGGAAGAUGCACAGUGCUGAAAAGUGCUCAGUCCUGUGGGCCCCGUAAGCCCCUUCUCAGUGGGUUCGGGUGUGGGCUUGUGGGCAGGGGUCGGCUGUCUUCAGUCUUCCCGACACGGGGAGCGCCCAUCUCAGACUCAGGGGUGCUGCUCCCUCCUGGCUUCCUUGCAGUCUUCAGCUCCUCCGUGGGGACAGUUAAGUCAGUGCCUCAUCUCAGAUGCAACACUGGCUCAUGAUCAUGAAAAGAUGGGACCCCCAGGGCUUCUCGAAAAGCUGGGAUCUUUUCUCAGCUGAGGAAGACUCAUGGGCCAUUGAUUUAGGAGUGAUGGACUGGCUGUGUCGCAGGCCAGGCCGUCUCAUAGGCUUUAUGAACUGGGUCUUCUGGCUGUCACAGGCCAGGACCUGAGAGGAGCACUCGCUCCUCUGUCACUUACUUAGGAGAGGCCAGCCGCAUUCCGGGCCAGACCAGCAUGGCGUUUGGAGUUCUGGUCCCUCUGACUCUCAGCCCGGGACCUCUCAGACCCAUGGCGGGAAUCACCCCUGCCAUCGGGACCUUCUUGUUCUUGCUGUACAUGCUCGACCGAAGAUUUACUGCGAGCUUAUUUCCUGAGUGCAGUGCUAGAAAACCUGGAGAAGAAAGAAGGGCAAAACUCUUUUCUCUGUAUAGAAAGCUGCUUAAAAAAAAAUGAAAGGAGACACAUCCUCCCAUCUCCAUGUAUUCAACAUCUUAGUAGAGAGUUGGAUAUCCACGGUUCAAAAUUGAGGAUGGAAAUUGGCCUUAACCAUUCCAUGCCUCAGUUCCCUCAUUUAUAAAACAUGGGUGAAGCUAGUCAUGCUAAUAUCCUAUAGAUUUUCCUUCAACACACACAAAUAGUAUGUGACUUUAUGUACAGUGAUUAAGAUAUUAUCUAGAAGCUCUCUGUAAGUGUUAUCUACUGGCACUAUUCUUUGAAAAGUUAUUUUAAUUGGCAUGGUAAUCAUACAUAUUUAUGGAAAACAGGGUGAUAUUGCAAUACAUGCUGUCAUUAAUUCUAUGCGUGCAAUCGGGUUUUCCUAAAGUGGGUGACAGGAUAGGCAGUCAAGGGCACAGGAAAAAGUGACACCCGUGAAUCAGUGACUAAAGGAAGGAAAAACUAUAGAUGCAGACUCAUUGUUCUUUUGCCCAUCAACAAGGCUUCUUUUUCAGCACCUCCGUGGUCUCUCUUUGGCUCUCUUUUCCAGGUCCCUGUCUCCUUCUGAGUCAUCAAGGGAAAUUAAGGGGCCGUUCUCCAGCCCUGCCAGGCCCUGAACCGACCCUGCAGGUCACACUUAUGCACCACCCCAUCAUCACUCACUCGAAGCCAGGGCACCGCCCCUUCAGGUUAAAAUGAAAAUUAUUUAAAAGGAUGUAGUACAGCAGGCUCAGAUGCUGGUCUUUACUGCUUUAUGUCUUCAUGAUUCAAACUCUUACUAAUGAAGAGCGAGCCUUGAGAGCAGAAACACUUUGGUCCAGGCACCAGCACAGCUGCUCCUGUCUGAUCUGAAAAGCACGGUGCCUUCCUACGUCACAACUGCUCCCUGAAUCUCAUUUUCUUGUCUGUUAAAGGGUAUGAUAACCCAGGCUCCCAAUCUCCAAAGGGUUGUUGUGAGUACUUACUGGGUCUUGAACACAAGACCUCAGAUGCACUAAGCAAGCCCUGAGCUACACUAGCAACCUUAGUUUUUCCAUACGGUCACCAGCUUCACUGUGAGCUUCUUAUUUUAAAUAGAGAGCUUCUUGGUCCAAGUACCCUGUGGCUCAGUGUAAUAAAUAAACUUACAUCAGCUGAACAUUUGUGUACUGAUUGUCUAUUAAAUGGAACCCUUGUGUACCUUGCAUUACACUGGAUGUCUUUUUAACAUCUGACUUUGCUAUCGCAUCAGAACCGCCCCCUCCAACCCAAUCAGAAGCAAAGAUUAUGGCUUUCAUGUUUGUAUUCCCAACCACCUGGAAUCAUCCCAUUGUUGGUAACUGGAUGAAGAGAUAGAGAAAGGAGAAGAAGGAAAAGAAAGAAUUCUGUAACUCCUCCCAAAACCGAGGAGAUUCUCCCAAAACUAAUCACAUCCCUUAGUGAAAGUACUAAGGACGCAUAAGAAAUAGUUCUGAAGAUGAAGCUUCUUGUGUGAGAGGAAAUGGUUGGGUUAUGAGUCUCCAUCGUGUAGACCAGACAGAAUGUCCAGUCUACUCAGUAAAGUCCUUUGCCAAACACAGUGAAGUUGGCAUCUCAUGAUCAGAGAAGGAACUGUGCAAAAACAGCAUGUGUUGUCACCUGGCCUGCUGCUGUGUGGGCUAGACUUUUGUAGGAAGUGAGCUUACACUAGAAUUUCCUUUGCUAAUCCUAUGAGAUCCAUUGACCUUGCCAGCCAUCCAAAGCAUGUGAUGUCUGAACUCAGGACCGUGUUCUCUGGGCCAAGUCCGAAGUCCGAAUCACCUUCUCGGUGGGACGAGGAUGAGCAGCAUGGGCUUUCCCCUCUCAAGUACAAUUUGACGAAUGCUCGGGAGUACCGCAUCUGUUUGCCAUAAUGAUGAUGACUAUAAUAGCAAUAACAAGAUAUUUAUUAAGCACUCAGAAUGUGCCAACACUGUUAUAAACACUUCACAUGCUUUAGAAAAGUUAAUCUUCACAACAAUCCUAUGAGCUAAGUGGAGGGUUUUAGUAACUUUGCCAAGCGUGUGUAGCUGAGAAGUGGUAGGGCUGGACAGUGACAUAGGCAGCGACAUUUUGUCUCCUCAUGUUCCUUCCAUCUACCACAUACCCCUUGAUAUCGCUUUUGACAAUAUAUCAUGAGAGCCUUCUGACUGCACUGAGCCUAACAACUCCUUUGAAUCCAUCAAGAACCACUUCGGGAAAUCUGCGAGUUCCCCUAAAUUUCUCUUGUGCUUCCUAGGUACUUGGCACAUGCUGCUAUCACACUAAAUUUCAUUGUGUAUUUAUAUAUUUGCCUCUCUCACCAAACUGUGAGCUCCACGAGGGAGAAUACAGAUAAUACCACUCUUCUUUUUCCUCCUCGUCCCCAGGACUUGAUCUGGGUCAAUGUCUAUAGAAAUGUUUUGUGAAUGAAUAAAGAAAGAAUACAUAAGACAACUCAAGUUGUGUGAACAGAGUCAAAGUUCAGUCAGCAGAACAAAACUCUGAGCAGCCCGAGUAGAUGGCAUGGCGUGCGUGCUCUAUGGUGCAGAGAUCCUCAGAGAAGCACAGAUCCAAGGCACUGAGCUGUUCCUCUUCAUCUUUCUCAUGGAACUGCCUCAACCCCUCUCCAAGGAUAUGGUUUCACUGCAGCAACACCAUCCUGGGAUCAACCCCUUUCCUCCACCCUCUCGUGGCUGGUCCACAGUCCAGGAAAGCUCCCAAGCCGCACUGAGCCUAAGAACUUCACUUGGAAGCGGUUACUAUCAGGAAUGGAGGAGAUGUCAGUCCAAGAACCGUUGGAAGUGGUUACUUUCCACCAUAUGGGCCGAAGCCAAAAGAGCCUGUUUGUAGCAAGUGUGAAAAGUGAGUUGAUUCUAGGGGAGAAAAGUCCAGUUUAUAAUUUCAAAUACAGUGGACCUUUGACUUACGAACUUAAUUUGUUCCCAAGGGCUGGUUGUAACUCAAGUUGGUCAAUGAAGGCUCGGGCUCCUCUACACAGCCUUCAAAGUCUCUCUCCUGUGUACAGGAAGAUCUCAGUGUCCUUAGAGAGACACUGGCCCAGGAUUUCUCUGUUAACCCCACACAGAGAGGAUGUUGUCAUGCUCCUUCCAGAACUCUUUAAGGGUGAAAUCUAUACCUGAGACCAUUUGGAAGCACAAGUGGCCAGCAUUCAGGUCAUAACUCGAGACUUUGUUUGUAAGUUAAAACUAAAAUUCAGAUCAUAAACAAAGUUGCUUGUAUGUCAGGCUGGCUGUAACUUGAGGGUCCACUUAAACUUUAUGGCUAGACCUCAUAGUACUCUACUUACUGAGACCAAAGAGUCCAUGAGAAAAACACUCCUUUUAUGGAAUUCAUUUUUGUGUGUGUGUGUGUGUGUGUGUGUGUGUGUGUGUUUGGUGCCGGGGAUCGAACUCGGGUCCUUGCGCUUGUGCAGCAGGCGGUGAAACUGAAUUCACUUUUAUCUCCCAGCUAUAGCCCAGUCAAGGUUUGCUCAAUGAAUGAAUAAGUAGGGUCUUGAGAAAAUAGCUAGCUGAAGGGAAGGCGUAAUGGUCCUGAUUACCUGGAUCUUGGAAAGUUUCAUAUCUCGGGUAGGAUUAUCAUUGACUGUCAUAGUUGAGCCCAUCAUUUUCACUUAGAAACUUUUGCUCUGAAGACUGGCAGGAGUUCCUUUGGGUGACUGGGUAAUUACCAGAGUCACCUGGGAAGCUUCUAUAGAUGUCAAGCUCUGGAUUCCAGCCCAUGGAAAUUCUGAUUCAGUAUCUGAGUGGGGUUACAGAGUCUGCAUGUCUGAGAACGUUUCCCGGGUGAUUCUGCUGACGAGCCGGGUUUCCUGAGUUCCAUGGACUCCCAUACCCUGUGGCUCACCCCUGUCCUUGCUGUAAAUUAUUUAUCACAUAAGUGGAUAUUUAGGUAGCAUCGAUUUAUUAUUCUUUCAGGGAACACUUACUAUCAAAUAUAUGUAAAGCCU